rnacentral:rRNA from 1 species
CCUACGGGAGGCAGCAGUGGGGAAUAUUGGGCAAUGGGCGCAAGCCUGACCCAGCAACGCCGCGUGAAGGAAGAAGGCUUUCGGGUUGUAAACUUCUUUUCUCAGGGACGAAGAAAGUGACGGUACCUGAGGAAUAAGCCACGGCCAACUACGUGCCAGCAGCCGCGUGCAUACGUAGGUGCCAAGGGUUAUCCGGAUUUAUUGGGUGUAAAGGGCGUGUAGGCGGGAGCGAAAGCCAGAUGUGAAAUCUCAGGGCUCAACCCUGGGCCUGCAUUUGAAACUGUGUUUCUUGAGUGCUGGAGAGGCAAGCGGAAUGCCGGGUGUAGCGGUGAAAUGCGUAGAUAUACGGAGGAACACCAGUGGCGAAGGCGGAUUGCUGGACAGUAACUGACGCUGAGGCGCGAAAGCGUGGGGAGCAAACAGGAUUAGAUACCCCUGUAGUC